rnacentral:rRNA from 1 species
AACGAACGCUGGCGGCGUGCUUAACACAUGCAAGUCGAACGCGAAAGGGGCUUCGGUCCUGAGUAAAGUGGCGCACGGGUGAGUAACGCGUGGAUAAUCUACCUGACAUACCGGGAUAACAUUUCGAAAGGGGUGCUAAUACCGGAUAAGACCACGAUUCCUUAGGGUAAUGAGGUAAAAGGCGGGGACCUUCGGGCCUGUCGAUGUUGGAUGAGUCCGCGUACCAUUAGCUAGUUGGUGGGGUAAAGGCCUACCAAGGCGACGAUGGUUAGCUGGUCUGAGAGGAUGAUCAGCCACACUGGAACUGAGACACGGUCCAGACUCCUACGGGAGGCAGCAGUGGGGAAUUUUGCGCAAUGGGGGAAACCCUGACGCAGCAACGCCGCGUGAGUGAUGAAGGCCUUCGGGUCGU